UUUUAACAUGCAUACAAAUCACCUGGGGAUUUUGUUAAAUUGCAGACUUUGUUUCAGUAGUUCUUGUGUGGGGCUUGAGAUGCAUUUUUGAUAAGCUCCCAGGGGAUACUGAUGCCGAUCUAUGUUUAUCCCUGAAUCCUACUUUGAGUGGCGAGUAACAGAGGGAUAUAGAAAAAUUCCGCAAAUUAACAAAUUAAAGACUCUGAGAAGAUUUGCACUGAUAAAGUCUGCAGUCAAUGCUGUCUCCUAACAACCUAUGGAAUUUGAUUUUGUGAAAGGAAAGGAUAAUCUGAUGUGCGCUAUUCUUGGGAAUAUUUGUUCAGGCACUUAAACAGACUGAAGGGGGAUUUCAGAAAAUGUUUGACUCUCUUUGUGGUGACCCUUGCAACUUUUCUCAGUCAAAAAAGGCAGUGGAUGUCAGAAAACGAGGAGCAAAUCAGAAAUCUGGAGACCUGAGAGAAAUCAGACCCAGCUGGAUGUCUUAUACCUCCUCUUCUUUGUCAGUAGACUCCUGAAUUAUUAAGUUCAAUAAGAAAGGAAAGGGAUGGAAAGGAUUCGGAGUGUCUUAUUUCAGGUGUAAACCUUUAUGAUGUCUUCGUAUAUUCCUGUACCGCGUGCAAGCAUUGGAGGUUUGUGGCUGGAAAUCCUUCAAAGGUGACAAUGUACAGAAGAGUUGAUAUGAAUCAAGACUGGAUGAAUGAAGCCAUUGCUCCUUAUAUUCUGUCUACAGAAACUGCUGUGGGCGCCGUGGUCAGACGAGAUGCUUCUUCCUACGUUUGUUUAUAAGUUCCUCCC
rnacentral:lncRNA from 1 species